rnacentral:rRNA from 1 species
GACCAGACUCCUACGGGAGGCAGCAGUGGGGAAUAUUGCACAAUGGGGGAAACCCUGAUGCAGCAACGCCGCGUGAGUGAAGAAGUAUUUCGGUAUGUAAGGCUCUAUCAGCAGGGAAGAAAAUGACGGUACCUGAGUAAGAAGCCCCGGCUAACUACGUGCCAGCAGCCGCGGUAAUACGUAGGGGGCAAGCGUUAUCCGGAUUUACUGGGUGUAAAGGGAGCGUAGACGGCGAUACAAGUCUGAAGUGAAAGCCCGGGGCUCAACCCCGGGACUGCUUUGGAAACUGUGUUGCUGGAGUGCUGGAGAGGCAAGCGGAAUUCCUAGUGUAGCGGUGAAAUGCGUAGAUAUUAGGAAGAACACCAGUGGCGAAGGCGGCUUACUGGACUGUAACUGACGUUGAGGCUCGAAAGCGUGGGGAGCAAACAGGAUUAGAUACCCGGGUAAC